rnacentral:rRNA from 1 species
UAGGGAAUAUUGCACAAUGGGCGAAAGCCUGAUGCAGCGACGCCGCGUGAGCGAAGAAGUUCUUCGGAACGUAAAGCUCUGUCCUUGGGGACGAAAAAAUGACGGUACCCAAGGAGGAAGCCCCGGCUAACUACGUGCCAGCAGCCGCGGUAAUACGUAGGGGGCGAGCGUUGUCCGGAUUUACUGGGCGUAAAGGGUGAGUAGGUGGUUAUACAAGUCAGAUGUGAAAUGCGGGAGCUUAACUUCCGAACGGCAUUGGAUACUGCUUUGCUAGAGCAAUGGAGGGGAAACCGGAAUUCUCGGUGUAGCAGUGAAAUGCGUAGAUAUCGAGAGGAACACUCGUGGCGAAGGCGGGUUUCUGGACAUUAGCUGACGCUGAGGUACGAAGGCCAGGGUAGCGAAAG